GUCGAGAAUCUUUCACAAUGGGGGCAACCCUGAUGGAGCGACGCCGCGUGGAGGAUAAGGUCUUCGGAUUGUAAACUCCUGUCAUGCGUGAACAAGGUUGCUUGGUUAAUACCUGGGCAAAUUGAUGGUAACGCAAGAGGAAGAGACGGCUAACUCUGUGCCAGCAGCCGCGGUAAUACAGGGGUCUCAAGCGUUGUUCGGAAUCACUGGGCGUAAAGGGUGCGUAGGUGGCGUGGUAAGUCAGAUGUGAAAGCCCGGGGCUCAACCUCGGAACUGCAUCCGAUACUGCCAGGCUAGAGUACUGGAGAGGUGACUAGAAUUCUCGGUGUAGCAGUGAAAUGCGUAGAUAUCGAGAGGAAUACCAAAGGCGUAGGCAGGUCACUGGACAGUUACUGACACUGAGGCACGAAGGCCAGGGGAGCGAACGGGAUUAGAUACCCGAGUAGUCC
rnacentral:rRNA from 1 species